UGGGGAAUAUUGCACAAUGGGCGAAAGCCUGAUGCAGCAACGCCGCGUGAGGGACGACGGCCUUCGGGUUGUAAACUCUUUACAAGAAGAAGCGAAAGUGACGGUACUUGCAGAAAAAGCGCCGGCUAACUACGUGCCAGCAGCCGCGGUAAUACGUAGGGCGCAAGCGUUAUCCGGAAUUAUUGGGCGUAAAGAGCUCGUAGGCGGUUUGUCGCGUCUGCUGUGAAAACCCGAGGCUCAACCUCGGGCCUGCAGUGGGUACGGGCAGACUAGAGUGCGGUAGGGGAGAUUGGAACUCCUGGUGUAGCGGUGGAAUGCGCAGAUAUCAGGAAGAACACCGAUGGCGAAGGCAGAUCUCUGGGCCGUAACUGACGCUGAGGAGCGAAAGGGUGGGGACAAAACAGGCUUAGAUGACCCUGGUAGUCCACCCCGUAAACGUUGGGAACUAGUUGU
rnacentral:rRNA from 1 species